rnacentral:rRNA from 1 species
AGAGUUUGAUCCUGGCUCAGGAUGAACGCUGGCGGCGUGGAUAGGGCAUGCAAGUCAAGGGGGUCGCAAGACAACCGGCAGACGAGAUAGUAAUAAGUAGGUACGAACCUAGAAGUCAGGAAUAGCUAGUCGAAAGACUAGGUAAUACUUGAUAGUCCCGCAAGGGUAAAGAUUUAUCGCUUCUAGAUCGGCCUGUCGGUAUCAGCUAGUUGGUAAGGUAAUGGCUUACCAAGGCAAUGACGCCUAGGGGGGGUGAGAGCCUGUUCCCCAUCGAUGGAACUGAGAUACGGUCCAUACACCUACGGGUGGCUGCAGUCGAGAAUAUUCGACAAUGGGCGAAAGCCUGAUCGAGCGACGCCGCGUGCAGGAUGAAGUGCUUCGGUAUGUAAACUGCUUUUGUAGACCAGAAAGUUUAUUGAUCGGUCUAAGAAUAAGAGGUUGCUAAACUCGUGCAGCAGCAGCGGUAAUACGAGUGCCUCGAGCGUUAUCCGGAAUCAUUGGGCGUAAAGGGUAUGUAGGUGGUCUGAUUAGUCUUCUGUUAAAUUUCUCGGCUUAACCGGGAACCUGCAGGGGAAACGGUCAGACUCGAGGAUGCGAGAGGUUAACGGAACUCAUAGUGUAGCGGUGAAAUGCGUUGAUAUUAUGGGGAACACCAAAUGCGAAGGCAGUUAACUGGAGCACUCCUGACACUGAAAUACGAAAGCGUGGGUACGAAUGGGAUUAGAUACCCCAGUAGUCCACGCCCUAAACGAUCUUCUCUAGGUUUUCGGAGUAUCGACCCUCUGAGAGCCACAGCUAACGCGUUAAGAGAAGCGCCUGGGUAGUACGGCCGCAAGGCUAAAACUCAAAGGAAUAGACGGGGACUUGCACAAGCGGAGGAUCAUGUGGUUUAAUUCGAUGACAAACGAAGAACCUUACCUGGCCUUGACAUGUCGCGAAUCCUGCAGAGAUGCGGGAGUGCCUUCGGGAUGCGAACACAGGUGCUGCAUGGCUGUCGUCAGCUCGUGUCGUGAGAUGUUGGGUUAAGUCCCGCAACGAGCGCAACCCUUGUCCUUAGUUGCCAGCACGUAAAGGUGGGAACUCUAAGGAGACUGCCGGUGACAAACCGGAGGAAGGUGGGGAUGACGUCAAGUCAUCAUGGCCCUUACGGCCAGGGCUACACACGUACUACAAUGGUCGGUACAGAGGGUUGCGAAGCCGCGAGGUGGAGCCAAUCCCAGAAAGCCGUCUCAGUUCGGAUUGGGGUCUGCAACUCGACCCCAUGAAGUCGGAGUCGCUAGUAAUCGCAGAUCAGCAACGCUGCGGUGAAUACGUUCCCGGGCCUUGUACACACCGCCCGUCAAGUCACGAAAGUUGGUAAC